rnacentral:rRNA from 1 species
GUUGGUGCCAGCAGGCGGUAAUACGGAGGGUGCAAGCGUUAAUCGGAAUUACUGGGCGUAAAGCGCACGCAGGCGGUCUGUCAAGUCGGAUGUGAAAUCCCCGGGCUCAACCUGGGAACUGCAUUCGAAACUGGCAGGCUAGAGUCUUGUAGAGGGGGGUAGAAUUCCAGGUGUAGCGGUGAAAUGCGUAGAGAUCUGGAGGAAUACCGGUGGCGAAGGCGGCCCCCUGGACAAAGACUGACGCUCAGGUGCGAAAGCGUGGGGAGCAAACAGGAUUAGAUACCCUGGUAGUCCCAA